rnacentral:rRNA from 1 species
UNAACGGGUAUCACAGAGAGCUUGCUCUUGGGUGACGAAGUGGCGGUACGGGAUGUAGCUAAUGGUCUGGGAAACUGCCCGAUGGAGGGGGAUAACUACUGGANACGGUAGCUAAUACCGCAUAACGUCUUCNGACCAAAGUGGGGGACCUUCNGGCCUCACACCAUCGGAUGUGCCCANAUGGGAUUAGCUAUUAGGUGGGGUAACGGCUCACCUAUGCGACNAUCCCUAGCUGGUCUGANAGGAUGACCAGCCACACUGGAACUGAGACACGGUCCAGACUCCUACNGGAGGCANCAGUGGGGAAUAUUGCACAAUGGGCGCAAGCCUGAUGCANCCAUGCCGCGUGUAUGAANAANGCCUUCGGGUUGUAAAGUACUUUCAGUGGGGAGGAAGGCGAUGAAGUUAAUAGCUUCGUCGAUUGACGUUACCCGCANAAUAAGCACCGNCUAACUCCGUGCCAGCAGCCGCNGUAAUACGGANGGUGCAANCGUUAAUCGGAAUUACUGGGCGUAAAGCGCACGCANGCGGUCUGUCAAGUCGGAUGUGAAAUCCCCGGGCUCAACCUGGGAACUGCAUUCGAAACUGGCAGGCUAGAGU